rnacentral:rRNA from 1 species
CAGAUCCGUGAGGGGAAAUUGGUGUAAUCGGUUUCUUUCCACAAAACAAACUCCGAGGGAGGUGAGUGUUUUUUUGACUUCCUUCCCCAAACAAUCCCGCUUAUGGUUGCUCGGUUGGUUUGUUUGUGCGGCACGGUAGUGCAUUUGCAAGUGGAGUGCGCCGAGGCGCACACAGCAGCGGUUGGGUAUGCGCUUUGAGGGCCCUUCUUCGGAUGGGUAUCCCUGGCGUCUGGAAGACUGUUUGCCGUGUGUGGUCUAUGAGCAUGGACUUAACACGAGUCGGCUGGCGGCUUGCACUGCUGCUGGUUGUGGUCGCAUGCGACUGCGCCAGUGGUGGGGUAGGUCGUCGGUGCAGGCUCUCAUGCUCACUUUCGGUGUAAAAGUCGGUCAUCUAUCCGACCCGUCUUGAAACACGGACCAAGGAGUUUAGCGUGUGCGCGAGUCAUUGGGUGUUGAAAGCCUAAAGGCGCAAUGAAAGUAAAGGCAUCCUUACGGAGCUGAUAUGCGAUCCCGAGUGCUUCGGUGCUUGGGCGCAGCAUAGCCCCAUCCUAAUUGCUUGCAAUGGGGUGGAGGUAGAGCGUACUCGCUGAGACCCGAAAGAUGGUGAACUAUGCCUGAGCAGGAUGAAGCCAGAGGAAACUCUGGUGGAAGUCCGAAGUCGUUCUGACGUGCAAAUCGAUCGUCUGACUUGGGUAUAGGGGCGAAAGACUAAUCGAACCAUCUAGUAGC